AUUGAACGCUGGCGGCAGGCCUAACACAUGCAAGUCGAGCGGGAACUUCGGUUCUAGCGGCGGACGGGUGAGUAAUGCGUAGGAAGCUACCCGACAGAGGGGGAUACCAGUUGGAAACGAAUGUUAAUACCGCAUAAUGUCUACGAACCAAAGUGUGGGACCUUCGGGCCACAUGCUGUCGGAUGCUCCUACGUGGUAUUAGCUAGUUGGUGAGGUAAUGGCUCACCAAGGCGACGAGCCCUAGCUGGUUUGAGAGGAUGAUCAGCCACACUGGAACUGAGACACGGUCCAGACUCCUACGGGAGGCAGCAGUGGGGAAUAUUGGACAAUGGGCGCAAGCCUGAUCCAGCCAUGCCGCGUGUGUGAAGAAGGCCUUCGGGUUGUAAAGCACUUUCAGCGAGGAGGAAGGGUUGUGUGUUAAUAGUACACAGCUUUGACGUUACUCGCAGAAGAAGCACCGGCUAACUCUGUGCCAGCAGCCGCAGUAAUAC
rnacentral:rRNA from 1 species